UUAUGAAAAAAAGGAAAAAAUAAAGAAGAGAAAGUGGAUAGAGAUAUUAUCACCGACAAUUUUGUUUACUCCGCCCAACCAUUUCCACAAUCAACUCACCAUCUUCAACUCCCAUUUCUUUUUGAUCUUCAAUGAUCUUGUCAGAUUUACAUUAAUCUUUGUUCAAUCAAACCUCAAAAUUCUACGCAAAUCAUCAGUUCCUUCAACUCGUAUAAGAUCAUCGGCCUAUCUGCUGAACUUUAUUUACCCAAUUAGGCGAUUAUAUGUCUUUGUUUUAUCAUCCCAGCUUCAUAAAACAACUGAUGUUCAACUUAGAUCCAAAUCAAUGCUAAAAUAGGAGAGAGAAAGUAACUCAGAUCAACAACAAUGGUGGAUAUAGCUGCGUCGUCUUUCAUGUUUAAGAUCUAUGCACGCGUACAUGACGAUCGAUGUUCCAGGCUUCACACAAAACAGUUCAAGCCCAAUUUGAUUGGAGACCAGUUAAGUAAUUCUUGAUCAAAUCAAUUAUUGAAUACGAAUUAGGUCUUUAGUUUCAAUAUAUUAAUUGUUGAUUGAAAUUGUUGUUUAUCUCUAUUUUCCAAGAUUUGCAUUUCAUCUUCCUGUUGCUCUCCACUUCUUCCAUUCCCAAUUAAUAAAAAAAAAUCAAAAAUGUUCAUCUCCUCUUCAUCUUUUCGGUGCAUAUGAAUCUUUGAAUUUUGAAUAAAUGACGGCUUUGGAAAGAGCAAGAGGUGACGCAAUCAAAACAAUCGUCGGGUGGAGAGGCAAGAAUUAACGCUUCCAUUUCUACAUGUAUCCAGACUGCUUUUCUGUCACCCCGCACCUUGCAGAGAUACUGGACUGAACUCUGAACCGGCUUCAUGUGGUUUAUCAAGAACUGAUUGGACUAUCCACCACAUAUAUCCAGAAUGCAAGUUCUUCAAUUGUUCCACAUUUGAAAGCAGGUGAAUGUUUUAAAAUUUGGAGCUUACCUUAUGGGGUCCAACUUUUAUGAAAUUUGUAGUGGGAAAAUCCAGAGGGGUGCUACUGCUAUGAACAACUGCUGCAGAGAGCACAAUUGCAAAAACAUUGAGAGAUUGUCCAGCAAGUUGGCUAAGACAAGUUAUCAAAGAUGGGAGGACCAAUCUGCAUAUCAAUCUGAUUUGAUUUUGGAUCAUACAUGCAGUUGCAUCAAUCAUGGAUCACUCGUGCAUUGUGGCUUAUCCACGCGGCUCACAUGUCAGUGUCACUCAACACAUGAACCUUUCAAGGGAAGCAUUAAAGCUGUGGAUGGUUCAACUCUUUGAAUAAAUGGACAACGGGUUAAAGUUACAAACCAUGAUUUAAUUAAAGGAGACGAGAAGAUUAGCCGGAACUCAAAGAAUUUUUUCUGUUCUCGUAUGUAUUUGUUCUUGAUUAAGAGAUUAAUCAAAGUAAGAACUCAUCAGAGAACUAGAAUCGAGUACUUUGAAGAUCUUUGUACAAUUUAUAUUUUCUUAGUCUCUUUGUACAAUUUAUUAUUUUCGUAGUACUUUGAAGAUCCUCUUUUGUCCAUUAAAGAAUACUAUGUAUUUUAAAUGUUGAAUUAUAUGAAAAUUCAAUUACGAAGUA